GAGGGGGGGAUGCUUUUAGGGCUCUGAAAACCUGGACGGGCAGCCUGCUGCACCAGCAGCUCCUGAGGGAUAGCACCAACCAGUCUCUGCUCCCACACGUGGCUGCGGGACAGCCUCAAUCAGACCCUGUUCCAGGGUUUCUCCCAAACUGAGGCCUCAUCCCUGCCAAAUUCCCAGGCAAGGAGGUGGCCAGCAGGAAGCUCACGCCUCAGCCGCCUCUGCCCCUCUCAUGCACAGCAGCAUCCCAAGGCUGGGGAAAAGCACCAGAGGUGGAGGGGGAAGAGCACGAAGAGCCAGGGAGAGGGAGCAAGCUGUUCAAGGGGAAAGCUAAAGGUGGGCACGAGCCCUGGACGCCAAAUCUGCUUGCUCCAGCCCUGGGACUGGUCCCCCCUUCAAAGAGAAACACGCUACUGGGUUCAGGCACCCAAGCCUCUCCAGGAUGUUAUACACUCUCUGAGAAGACUAGAGGUAAUAUACCGGAAGGACAAGCUCAUGGUGCAGCAAAUUUACAUCAACAGAGCUGCUGCAAGUCAUUUCCAUCAGGGACCUGCUAUCACAUCACAGCUAGAGCGUUUAGCAUCCGUGUGUCCAGGAGGGGAGCAGCCACCCAAGAGACAAGAUAAUGGAGCAGGAAGAGCUGCCUCCUCUGCCCAUUAGCAGAGUGUUCCCAAGGAGAAGGCAAGAGGCUCCCCAGAAGCAAUCAUUCCUGUUUGAAAGGCUCAGCUGUUACAUGAAAAGAUCGUAAUAAUGGUGGCGGUGGCAAAGAGCCGAACUGAAUAAGAUCGCACAGCGGUGCUUUUAUCUGAUAGGAGGAGGAAAGGCGAACACGUCUGCGGCAUGGUGUGCAAGCAAUAGGGAGAGAUGUGUCCCCUUAAGAAGAAGAAAGGAACAUUUUACCAAAAUGUUUUAGAAGGGCUGUUCUUGAUUGGGCUGCUGGUUGCCAAGGAGAAAGAAUUGAUCGUUCAGAGAAAGAUGAGAAAAGGAGCUGUCAGGAAAGAAGACAUCUGGAGCUGACUUGUGCACAGUUUCUUCUUCUUAGCCCAGUGACACUGAAUCAUUUGCUUCUCUGUUUUAAACCGAAUCAAGCUCUGGAAUCAUCUGAUUUCCAUUCAAAUAAAAAUACCCUCUUACAGUUUC